UUUUUAUUUUUUCCAUUAGAGUUGGUUUACAGUGUUCUGUCAAUUUUCCACUGUACUAAAAAAUUUUACAGAGUGCAAGAAGGCACAGAUAAAAAUACAAUGGACAAGUUCCUGUUGUAGCUAAGAGGGUUAAGAACAUGACAUUGUCUCUGUGAGGAUGCAGGUUUGAUCCCUGGCCUCCCUCUGUGGCUUAAGAAUCCAGCGUUGCCACAAGCUGUGGCAUAGGUUACAGAUGUAGCUUGGGUCUGGCAUUGCUGUGGCUGCAGCUACAGCUCCAAUUUGAUCUCUACCCUGGGAACUUGCAUAUGCUGCAUGUAGGGCUGUAAAAAGAAAAAAUAUAAAUAUACCGGAAAUAUUAGUAUCAACCAGGAGAGUCCCAGGCAAACUAGGAGAUGCAGUCAGGGAAGGGGAAAGUGGGUACUAUGCUUCAUCCUUACGGCAGCAAAUAUUAUUUCCAAAGCCAACUGAUUUCCAUUAGUCUAGGAUGGAUAACAAGUUGAUUAAUAUCUAUAGGUAUAAACCUUAAAAGAUAAGGAGUUAAAUUCAUAUUAACUGCAAAUGGAAAUACGUUGCUUAUUUAAAAUAACAUAAAACCUUCGCCUUAGCUAUUCUUCCAGUCAUCAGAACAAGUAUUUUACAAAUCAAUUUCUCCUCCUGCGCUAUUCCAGGAUCACAGACAAACACUGUGAAGCUCAGAUAGGAAUUAAACAAUUCAGUGACAGCAAUACAUAGUCUAAGCCAUGGAUCAAUCUACACAUAGUAUCACUGACCUUUGGUUUUCCCCUUCAAGUUAUUUUAUUUAUUUGUUUGUUUAUUUGCUUACUUAUUUAUUUAUUUUGUCUUUUUAGGGCUUCACCCAUGGCUAGGGUUUGAAUCGGAGCUGUAGCUGCUGGCCUAGGCUAGACACAGCAACACAGGAUCCUAGCCUCAUCUGUGACCUACACCACAGCCCACACCAAUGCCGGAUCCUUAACCCACUGAGCAAGACCAAGGAUUAAACCUGUAUCCUCAUGGAUACUAGUUUCAGGUUCUUAAUCCACUAAGCCCAAUGAGAACUCCCAAAGAGAAAGAAAUUUUAGAAGGUACAGAGUUCAGGGAAAAUGAAAAUGUACUCACAGAACUUUAACAUGAAAAGAAGCCAUCUCCUAGAUAGAGAGAUCAUGAUUAAGCUUCUAGCUGCUUUUGGAAGAUAUCGGUUUAAGUUCCCUGCAACUCCAAUAAGAAGAACUUGUAGUGGAUGUCUCACUAUGUCUAGUCUGCCCCUCUUCCUUUGGGGAUGAUACCUUUCCCCCUCUCAGUCCACGGGAUCAGAGCCUUUUUCCAUAUAUGGGCACUGAGCCCAAGUCAGCAGAAAAUUUCAUUUAUCUGCCAAUAGUUAUGUUCAAUGGAGGGCACACGACACAGCCAAGCCAAUGAGAAGUCCUCUCAGGGCUUUUUGAUGGAAGUUAAGGGAAAUAGCCAAUUUCCCCUAUGCUGAUUGCCUGAGUGCUGAAGUGCAUAAAAAUGUGAACACUUUGCGAAAGAAAACUUGUUUAGAAAUAAAAUCAACGGUCAACAAAAAAGGAGAGAGGUAAAUCUGUUCCUUCCUUCUUCGCUUUUACAAGUUUGAGCUGAGUUUCUGUCAUUUGCAACCUAAAGGGCCCUAAACUUCUCAUGACUUAAUGUUGGUCCAAAGCACAUAAACUAAACAAGUUUUUUAUACAUUUUGUAUAAACCUGAGCACUUUGGUUUGGGUGCUUUGAGGCCCUUUUCCUCUUAUCCAAAUACACAUGAUCUUUCUCCUGCGACUUUGCCUUCUCCAGGAAAAUAGGAUAAUGGGACCCCCUGAGCCAGGUGAGUCAUCCAGCAACCCAGACCCUCCACUGUUAUUAAAGGCUCUAGCUGUGGCUUCCUCCUACAGGAAGUGGAGGCUACCGGGUCCUGUGCAAAGGCCUUGUAUGGCAGCUAGUGCUACACCCAUGUACAGCAAGCUCCUUUCUGCAGGUAAAUCUGUUCCUUGUCAGGCGUUUGCUUCCUCUGUAGUAUUAGAAAUCCUUAGAAAUCCCUUUUUGUGUAAAGCAUCAGUCUGUUCACUUUAGAGCCUUUAAAACCCAACUCCACUAACCCCUUCUCCCCAUAAGACUGCAAAUGUACAACAUAAAGAAUACACAACUCCAUUUCUUUUCUUUUCAGAGAUAUUCCCCAGGUUCCCUACCUAGUCAGCUCCUUAAUUCUUUUCUCUGACCUUUUCUCCCAGAAUAGCCUCUUGUUGAUUCAUUCCUGAAUUCUCUACUUUGGCUUAGCCCAGUCAGAUUCUAGGAUCUGCUUUACUUUUUUUUUAAGAUUUUUAUUUUUUCCAUUAUAGUUGAUUUACAGUGUUCUGUCAAUUUCUACUAUAUAGCAAAGUGACCCAAUCACGCAUAUACAUAUAUUCUUUUUCUCACAUUAUCCUCCAUAUGCUCCCUCUCAGGGAUUAUCCUCUAAGCAGGAAGCCAAGUGAUUUCCAUUAUAUCUUUGCCACAGAUUUUUAGUCACUCCCCUAGUGCUAUGUUAGUAAGUGUUUAUCAUAGGCUCUGGGAAAGUCUGGAUUUGUAGCAUGUGCCGAUGUUCAUAAUGUGAAUUCUCUCACCGUAGCCCCCCACUGCAACCCAUUUUGAGCUAAUGACAUGCUCUCUUGGGAUGCAAAAUUGGGAAGAGUUGUACCUGGUCAGCUCUGCAGCCAGCUCCAGCCCACCACCAUUCUGGCCCCUCCUUUUUCUGGUAGGAGGUAGGAUAUGGGAAGAGGCAAUUGCUACAGUUAAACAACCCUAACCAGGUUUUGUAUUUUCUAUAAGAAACAUCUAAGUUUUCGUUAUUGCCCAUACAGUUUUAAUUAUCCUUCAUUGGGUCCAUCUGUCUCUGUAUCUACCACGAAGGAGGUAAAGAUGAGAUAGAAGAGAUAUUGUGUUUGGUGCUAUAAAAAACACACACAGCUAUGAUAACAUUUAUAACAAUAUGUUUCUGAAAAAAAUGAGAGAUAAGUAAGAAUGUUUACUUUUCAUUGACUAAUAGCAGGAUUUAGUCUAUUAAAGGUGACAGCUGAACACCAUUUACUUUUCUACUGAACUCACUGUAAUCUAUGAAAAGUGUUUCUGACAUAGCCUUUUCUUCCUCUUUGAAAUGCUUGAUUCCCAGUGAGUUAAAUAUUUAGCUACCCACCUGUUAUUUAUUAUUUUUGUUUACAGAAAACCAUGAGGGCACAGAACACAUAAAAGGCCCUAUAAAGAUGAGUUUUCUAAUCCAAUUAGGAAUACAAUACCUUGGGCAACAGAAAAAAUGUGCAAAAAGAUGGAAAUAUUUUUAUAGAGCAGAUUGGAAAAAAGUUUUAUGAAGCAAGGAGAAAAGAAGUAUAUAUAGAAGAGAGUAAUAGUUUGGGGUAUGUAGAAUGUGGGAAUAAGAAUUUAUGUUUUUAGGAGUUCCCAUUGUGGCUCAAUGAGUUAAGAACCGACUAGUAUCCAUGAGGAUGCAGGUUCAAUCCCUGGCCUUGCUCAGAAGGUUAAGGAUCCAGCAUUUCUGUGGUUGUGGCGAAGGCCAGCAGCUGCAGCUAAGAUUCAACCCCUAGCCUGGGAACUUCCUUAUGCCUCGAUGCAGCACUGACAAUCUAAAAAAAAAAAAGAAAGAAAGAAAGAAAAA
rnacentral:lncRNA from 1 species